AUUGAACGCUGGCGGCAGGCCUAACACAUGCAAGUCGAACGGUAACAGGAAGCAGCUUGCUACUUCGCUGACGAGUGGCGGACGGGUGAGUAAUGUCUGGGAAACCGCCUGAUGGAGGGGGAUAACUACUGGAAACGGUAGCUAAUACCGCAUAACGUCGCAAGACCAAAGAGGGGGACCUUCGGGCCUCUUGCCAUCGGAUGUGCCCAGAUGGGAUUAGCUAGUAGGUGGGGUAACGGCUCACCUAGGCGACGAUCCCUAGCUGGUCUGAGAGGAUGACCAGCCACACUGGAACUGAGACACGGUCCAGACUCCUACGGGAGGCAGCAGUGGGGAAUAUUGCACAAUGGGCGCAAGCCUGAUGCAGCCAUGCCGCGUGUAUGAAGAAGGCCUUCGGGUUGUAAAGUACUUUCAGCGGGGAGGAAGGCGAUAAGGUUAAUAACCUUGUCGAUUGACGUUACCCGCAGAAGAAGCACCGGCUAACUCCGUGCCAGCCGCCGCAGUAA
rnacentral:rRNA from 1 species